rnacentral:tRNA from 1 species
ACCAUUGUAGUAUAAGUUAAGUAUAGUUGCCUUCCAAGCAGCGGGUUUAGAAGCUCUAGCAAUGGGU